rnacentral:rRNA from 1 species
CAAUAGCGUAUAUUAAAGUUGUUGCAGUUAAAAAGCUCGUAGUUGGAUUUCGGGGCAGCCUGGCUGGUCCGCCGCAAGGCGAGUACUGGUCAGCCGCCCUUCCUCUCGAAAGCCCCGACUGCUCUUUAUUGCAGUGGUCGGGUAGUUCGGGACGUUUACUUUGAAAAAAUUAGAGUGUUCAAGGCAGGCCUACGCCUGAAUACAUUAGCAUGGAAUAAUGGAAGAGGACCUCGGUCCUAUCUUGUUGGUUUCCAGGACCGAAGUAAUGAUUAAGAGGGACAGUUGGGGGCAUUCGUAUUUAAUUGUCAGAGGUGAAAUUCUCGGAUUUAUGAAAGACGAACAACUGCGAAAGCAUUUGCCAAGGAUGUUUUCAUUAA